GCCUGGGUGGCUCAGUCGGUUAAGCGUCUGACUUCAGCUCAGGUCAUGAUCUCGCGGUCCGUGAGUUCAAGCCCCGCAUCGGGCU
rnacentral:tRNA from 1 species